AGGGAAUCUUCCACAAUGGACGCAAGUCUGAUGGAGCAACGCCGCGUGAGUGAAGAAGGUCUUCGGAUCGUAAAGCUCUGUUGUUGGUGAAGAAGGAUAGAGGCAGUAACUGGUCUUUAUUUGACGGUAAUCAACCAGAAAGUCACGGCUAACUACGUGCCAGCAGCCGCGGUAAUACGUAGGUGGCAAGCGUUGUCCGGAUUUAUUGGGCGUAAAGCGAGCGCAGGCGGAAUGAUAAGUCUGAUGUGAAAGCCCACGGCUCAACCGUGGAACUGCAUCGGAAACUGUCAUUCUUGAGUGCAGAAGAGGAGAGUGGAACUCCAUGUGUAGCGGUGGAAUGCGUAGAUAUAUGGAAGAACACCAGUGGCGAAGGCGGCUCUCUGGUCUGCAACUGACGCUGAGGCUCGAAAGCAUGGGUAGCGAACAGGAUUAGAUACCCUGGUAGUCCAUGCCGUAAACGAUGAGCGCUAGGUGUUGGGGACUUUCCGGUCCUCAGUGCCGCAGCAAAUC
rnacentral:rRNA from 1 species